CUACGGGUGGCUGCAGUGGGGAAUAUUGCACAAUGGGCGCAAGCCUGAUGCAGCCAUGCCGCGUGUGUGAAGAAGGCCUUCGGGUUGUAAAGCACUUUCAGCGGGGAGGAAGGCGUUAAGGUUAAUAACCUUGGCGAUUGACGUUACCCGCAGAAGAAGCACCGGCUAACUCCGUGCCAGCAGCCGCGGUAAUACGGAGGGUGCAAGCGUUAAUCGGAAUUACUGGGCGUAAAGCGCACGCAGGCGGUCUGUCAAGUCGGAUGUGAAAUCCCCGGGCUCAACCUGGGAACUGCAUUCGAAACUGGCAGGCUAGAGUCUUGUAGAGGGGGGUAGAAUUCCAGGUGUAGCGGUGAAAUGCGUAGAGAUCUGGAGGAAUACCGGUGGCGAAGGCGGCCCCCUGGACAAAGACUGACGCUCAGGUGCGAAAGCGUGGGGAGCAAAGAGGAUUAGAUACCCGGGUAGUC
rnacentral:rRNA from 1 species